CACCACAAACUGUUUUAAAAAUUUUUUUAGCAAUAUUAUCCAGUUGUGAAUAUUUUAACAAAAGCCACUUUCCUACAGUUUUUUUUAUAUAAAUUUUAUAUCCUGCAUCACUGAAAAUUGCGAAACUAGCCCUCUUUUUAACCGCAAACCACCCGUUCCUAAUGAUUUUGAUUAGCGGUGCUUUUCGACUAAACAGGUACUAUUAUUCGCGUACUAGCCUACGCAUUUCUCCUUAAUAACGUCAUUAGUUUUAUGUUAAAGCAAUCAGGGGUGCAUGAGUUCGUCGCAACAACUUUAGGGUUUCACCAACCCCAAAGAGCUGCUAUUUCGUAAAAUGUUGUUAGUGUCUAUAUAUACAUUUCGUGCGCGUGAGUUUUUGGGUCGUUCUAUAGGCCUAUCUGAAAAGAUAAUGGCAUAUCGCGGAAGUCGUGGAACGUAACUGCAAGGUCUGGAGCCUGACCAAACACCCCUGCUGUUACGUAUCUAGACCCUGCAAUUAUCACGCUGUUUCUUUUGUUUGUGUGUUUAUCGUCGUGAAAUUGUUGCGUAUAUAAGCGUGUUGUGAUUCGUAGGAAGAGAGACGAGAAGAGACAGAGAACGAUAUAUAGAGAAUGAAUAAAACGAAAUAAAUGAGAUUCGAGAGUGAAUAAACCGAAUACGUUGAGUGCUGCCUAAGUUACGUAUUGUUGGGAAUACGAGAAACAGGCAGAACGUUUUAGCUAUAUGUCUUGGAGCAAUUGGCAUUAAGUGUCUUGCCCAAGGACACAUACGCCCACAAUGGAAGCAGCGUCGAGCCUUGAAUCCAUUACCUCUGCUGGGUUACAGGCAGGCGCGCUAACCACUAAACCACAGCGUCGGACAAAGGUUAUAUAAUGUAUGGGGCAUAAGGAGACAUAUACAUGUUGUAGUAAGAUCGUUUUCAUAUAUACAGCCGUCAAGAUGGAAAAUUUGUUUAGUUCCCCAAGCAACUUAUUUACAACCUAGACGAAGUCGUUAUUAAAGAUAUAUGCGGUGAGAAGCAGCCUACGUUAGGAAGACGAAAAAAUCGUUUCAUAAAA